rnacentral:rRNA from 1 species
GACGAACCGUGCGAACGUUGUUCGGAAUCACUGGGCAUAAAGGGCGCGUAGGCGGCUUUUCAAGUCAGGGGUGAAAUCCGGCAGCUUAACUGUCGAAGUGCCCUUGAUACUGAUGAGCUCGAGGGAGGUAGGGGUAUGUGGAACUUCCGGUGGAGCGGUGAAAUGCGUUGAUAUCGUAAGGAACGCCGGUGGCGAAAGCGACGUACUGGACCUCUUCUGACGCUGAGGCGCGAAAGCUAGGGGAGCAAACGGG